AGGCAGAAAUGGAAGACGGCAUUUAUCUGUAGAACCCCCUGAAUCAGAUGGAUACACAGCAAUCAAUAGAAGGAAAGUGCCCUGUUUGCCAAAAGGAACCCAACAGUGGAACUGGAACUACAUGCAAGUGUCUGUGGGGACUGGGAGAGUAACCUGGAAAGCUCCGUUCCGCCCUGCUUGUCCUGUCCAAUUCUCCCACCAGCCCAUCUCUACCUCCCUCCUGCCCUUCCUCCCCUCGCUCUUCCUCCUUGUGAGUUCCCCGUGUGCCCUGUCUGUGUGUCUGGAUGGAUUCUCCAGUAAUCAACCCUCUCCCGGAUCCUGACCCAGUGCCUGCCGUUUCUUCUUGAUCUCCUGG